CCUACGGGAGGCAGCAGUGGGGGAUAUUGCACAAUGGGCGAAACCCUGAUGCAGCGACGCCGCGUGAGUGAAGGAGUAUUUCGGUAUGUAAAGCUCUAUCAGCAGGGAAGAAAAUGGCUGUACCUGACCAAGAAGCCCCUGCUAACUACGUGCCAGCAGCCUCGGUAAUACGUAGGGGGCACGCGUUAUCCGGAUUUACUGGGUGUAAAGGGAGCGUAGACGGUUAUGUAGGUCUGGAGUGAAAGCCCGGGGCCCAAGCGCGGGACUGCUUUGGAAACUGUGUAGCUGGAGUACAGGAGGGGCAGGCGGAAUUCCUGGUGUAGCGGUGAAAUGCGUAGAUAUCAGGAGGAACACCGGCGGCGAAGGCGGCCUGCGGGACUGAAACUGACGUUGAGGCUCGAAAGCGUGGGGAGCAAACAGGAUUAGAUACCCUUGUAGUC
rnacentral:rRNA from 1 species